GACGAACGCUGGCGGCGUGCUUAACACAUGCAAGUCGAACGGAAGGGCCCUGCUUUUGUGGGGUGCUCGAGUGGCGAAGGGGUGAGUAACACGUGAGUAUACUGCCCUUGACUUUGGGAUAACUUCAGGAAACUGGGGCUAAUACCGGAUAGGAGCUCCUGCUGCAUGGUGGGGGUUGGAAAGAUUCGGCGGUUGGGGAUGGACUCGAGGGUUAUCAGCUUGUUGGUGGGGUAGUGGUUUACCAAGGGUUAGACGGCUAGCCGGCAUGAGAGGGUGACCGGCCACAUUGCGACUGAGAUACGGCCCAGACUCCUACGGGAGGCAGCAGUGGGGAAUAUUGCACAAUGGGGGGAAGCCUGAUGCAGCAGCGCCGCGUGCGGGAUGACGGCCUUCGGGUUGUAAACCGCUUUCGCCGGUGACGAAGCCUGAGUGACGGUAAUGGGUAAAGAAGCACCGGCUAACUACGUG
rnacentral:rRNA from 1 species